GACGCUUGGACUGUGAUUUAGUUUGUUUCCACUUUGACGACUUGGAAUAUAUCGGUUCCGAGAAAAUUGCUAGAAACGAAUCGGUUUUAAGACGACGUUCAUGUCUCUCGUUUUUUCUCUCUUUAGGAAGCGAGCUUGAUAUGCGUGGCGAUCGUUUCUCAAUUUUCAAAGAGUUUAGAUCGGUUUGCAAGAUCUGGCUGAACAGUUAUGG
rnacentral:lncRNA from 1 species